AUUCCAGCUCCAAUAGCGUAUAUUAAAGUUGUUGCAGUUAAAAAGCUCGUAGUUGGAUUUGUGUGUUGUCGUGGUGGUCGGAGCAAUCCGGCUGUUCCGCGCGGGUGCAUGCUUGGGUGGAAUCUGUGUGGCAUUAGGUUGUCGUGCAGGGGAGGCCCAUCUUUUACUGUGAGGAAAUUAGAGUGUUCAAAGCAGGCUUACGCCGUUGAAUAUAUUAGCAUGGAAUAAUGAGAUAGGACCUUGGUACUAUUUUGUUGGUUUGCGCACCGAGGUAAUGAUUAAUAGGGACAGUUGGGGGUAUUCGUAUUCCAUUGUCAGAGGUGAAAUUCUUGGAUUUUUGGAAGACGAACUACUGCGAAAGCAUUUACCAAGGAUGUUUUC
rnacentral:rRNA from 1 species